CGGAAGAUUGGCGCGGGCGGGAUUGUCGCCAACCCGGUCAGGGCCGAAAGGCAGCAGCCGCAACGAAUUUUUUCCGGGUCGUGUCCAGUCUUCCACUU
rnacentral:SRP_RNA from 1 species